UACGUAGGCAGCGAGCGUUGUUCGGAGUUACUGGGCGUAAAGCGCACGUAGGCGGCUUUGCAAGUUAGAGGUGAAAGCCCGGGGCUCAACUCCGGAAUUGCCUUUAAAACUGCAUCGCUAGAAUUGUGGAGAGGUAAGUGGAAUUCCGAGUGUAGAGGUGAAAUUCGUAGAUAUUCGGAAGAACACCAGUGGCGAAGGCGACUUACUGGACACAUAUUGACGCUGAGGUGCGAAAGCGUGGGGAGCAAACAGG
rnacentral:rRNA from 1 species